GGCCACCGCGCGUCCCUGGAGGUACCCCCCCCCCUCCACCCGCCACGCCAGCAAGGCCUGGGAGGGGAAUCCCGGCAACACGGACUACAGUGUGCCCAACUCCCGGCCUCUUUCACAUCGACCUAACGAAACAGCAAAAUGAGCCGUGAUUCUGUUGAUCGAUUACAAUCAGAGCGGUUGUAGAAGUGACACAUACAGGCGAGGAUGGGCAGAUGGGCGGGGAGAGAGAAAGAGCCCAAGAGGCGGAGCCUCGUGGGCAUGGCAGCGGUGGUGCCCAGAUGUCUGAACAGAUUAAUACAGCCAGGUUUGCUCCCUCCUUGGGGUCAGGCGAGCACGUGUUCUGCCAGUGUCUCCUUACCUACUUCUCUUAAUUAUUUCUGCCACCCUGGCGGGGAGCUAUGAAGCACUUCUCCCUGACUCUCGCCGUCACAGUAAUAUGCUUGGCACCUCCUGCACGCACGACCCUCUAGAUGGGGCUGGUGAGCCCAUUCUGGAAGGGCCUACCACUGGGAAACCCCAUCUAGAUAUCAAAUCUUAGAGGGCUUCACUCCCUGUCUCCAGGUUCCCUAAGAGACCCUAUCAUCAACGUGGCUUUAAACAAGGCGAAGUGUUUGUCGGCUGCAAACCUCCAGUCUACAUGUUCCUUCUGAACCAUAGGCCAGCCAACCUGCCCUUUUCACUACAGAAUCAAACCUCUUAUGUCCAGGCCUGCUCCUCAUACAGCCUUCCUCCAACUCAGCUGAUUCCUCUCAUUGCUCAUGCAAGAACCCUGGAGUCAUCUUGAUUUGAUCUCUCCCACCACCUCACAUCACUGUAUCGUGGAAUUCAUCUCAGACAGAACACAGUGCAACCUCCCCUCGCUUUUCUGCUGCCCGCGUCUAUGGCUGAGCCAAUGUUCUACACCUGGCGUUCUGCAAUAGCUGGUUCUCUAGUCGCCCUUCUCUUCUCCAGUACAUUCUCCUCACAACAGUUGUAACAAUCCACUUCAAAGGGUGCUCCUCUAACCCAGACCCUCGAGUGGCCUCUGUCACUUUAUUGAAAGUGACAAUAUGCUACAAGGACUGCAGGAACGGCUGGACGUCUUGCCCAUCAUCAGUAUACAGAAUGAUGUCCAUUGUCAGUAUAUGGAGCAAAGUCUGGUAUGGGAGCCAAGCUACCAAGCAGACGAAUCUCAGUCAUAGGGAAAAGGACCCUGUUGCCCUCAUGGGAGAACAGAAGCUGAGCCCCAGGGUGUCCUCUGCCCACCUGACAACCACUUUGCACCCCCC